rnacentral:rRNA from 1 species
AUUGAACGCUGGCGGCAUGCCUUACACAUGCAUGUCGAACGGUAACAGGUCUUCGGAUGCUGACGAGUGGCGAACGGGUGAGUAAUACAUCGGAACGUGCCCGAGAGUGGGGGAUAACGAGGCGAAAGCUUUGCUAAUACCGCAUACGAUCUCAGGAUGAAAGCAGGGGACCGCAAGGCCUUGCGCUCACGGAGCGGCCGAUGGCAGAUUAGGUAGUUGGUGGGAUAAAAGCUUACCAAGCCGACGAUCUGUAGCGGGUCUGAGAGGACGACCAGCCACACUGGGACUGAGACACGGCCCAGACUCCUACGGGAGGCAGCAGUGGGGAAUUUUGGACAAUGGGCGCAAGCCUGAUCCAGCCAUGCCGCGUGCAGGAUGAAGGCCUUCGGGUUGUAAACUGCUUUUGUACGGAACGAAAAGACUCCUUCUAAUAAAGGGGGUCCAUGACGGUACCGUAAGAAUAAGCACCGGCUAACUACGUGCCAGCCGCCGCGGUAAAAC